UACGUAGGGUGCAAGCGUUUAAUCGGAAUUACUGGGCGUAAAGCGUGCGCAGGCGGUUUUGUAAGUCUGUCGUGAAAGCCCCCGGGCUCAACCUGGGAAUUGCGAUGGAGACUGCAAGGCUUGAAUCUGGCAGAGGGGGGGUAGAAUUCCACGUGUAGCAGUGAAAUGCGUAGAGAUGUGGAGGAACACCGAUGGCGAAGGCAGCCCCCCUGGGUCAAGAUUGACGCCCCAUGCACGAAAAGCGUGGGGGAGCAAACAGG
rnacentral:rRNA from 1 species